UUUCGUAGUGACCUGCGGAAGGAUCAUUA
rnacentral:rRNA from 1 species